rnacentral:rRNA from 1 species
UCAGAUUGAACGCUGGCGGCAGGCCUAACACAUGCAAGUCGAACGGUAACAGGAAGCAGCUUGCUGCUUYGCUGACGAGUGGCGGACGGGUGAGUAAUGUCUGGGAAACUGCCUGAUGGAGGGGGAUAACUACUGGAAACGGUGGCUAAUACCGCAUAACGUCGCAAGACCAAAGAGGGGGACCUUCGGGCCUCUUGCCAUCAGAUGUGCCCAGAUGGGAUUAGCUUGUUGGUGAGGUAACGGCUCACCAAGGCGACGAUCCCUAGCUGGUCUGAGAGGAUGACCAGCCACACUGGAACUGAGACACGGUCCAGACUCCUACGGGAGGCAGCAGUGGGGAAUAUUGCACAAUGGGCGCAAGCCUGAUGCAGCCAUGCCGCGUGUAUGAAGAAGGCCUUCGGGUUGUAAAGUACUUUCAGCGGGGAGGAAGGUGUUGYGGUUAAUAACC